UUGUUGUGCGUAAUAAAUUACCAUUGUUGUUGACUGGGUAACUGACAAACAAUUGGUAACAUUUCCGUGUUUAUAACUCGAAAGCAAAGGAGUAUUUUGCAACAGAACUAAGGGCCUUAUGCAAAAGAUACGACCUACGGAAUACGGAAAAAGAAUACCCCAGGUAGAAAUGCAACAAAGGGCUGAACAAAAUGCUCGAUUUGACCAGAAUAAAGCAGGAGGUGCGGGAAUAUGUGGUUUAUUAUUAUUGGUUUUAUCGUGUCUAGUUAUGAUUCCCUUCUUUCCUUUUGCUAUUUGUGCCUCCGUAAAAGUGGUUCAGGAAUAUGAACGAGCGGUGAUAUUUCGGCUUGGCCGUUUGGUCUCUGGAGGGGCUAAAGGUCCAGGUAUUUUCUUUGUGAUACCGUGCACUGAUGAAUACCGCAAAAUUGAUAUACGCACAAAGUCUUUCGACGUUCCUCCUCAAGAAAUUCUAACAAGAGACAGCGUAACCGUAGCAAUGGACGCCGUGGUUUACUACAGAAUAUUUGAUGCUACGAUGGCAGUUGCUAACGUCGAAAAUGCCGAUGGAGCGACUCGUCUUUUGGCACAAACAACGUUAAGAAACAUGCUUGGUACCCGAAGCCUGUCAGAGAUCUUAACAGGCCGUGAUCACAUUACCCACGAAAUGAUGGAACACUUGGAUAACGCAACGGAUGCCUGGGGAAUCAAAGUGGAACGCAUUGAAAUUAAGGAUGUUCGUCUUCCAAUACAGCUACAAAGGGCAAUGGCCGCGGAAGCCGAAGCGUCAAGAGAAGCCAAAGCAAAAGUGAUAGCAGCUGAAGGAGAAAUGAAUGCAUCGAUAAAGCUUAAGGAGGCAGCAGAUGUUAUGUCAGGUUCACCUAAUGCAAUGCAAUUACGAUACUUGCAAACCCUGACUACCAUAAGUGCGGAAAAAAAUUCAACCAUAGUUUUCCCGCUUCCAAUUGAUAUGCUCAGUACCGCGUUCAAGAAGUAAAAAGUUAAGAAUUUACCAAUUUAAAAACUCUCCUAAUUAAAAAAAUAUUUUGUUUUAGUAGUUUAGAUACAAUAAACACAUUUGC